UGCCCAUGUGGGGCAGGGGAAUGAAAUUGCAAUAAAGGAAAAAAAGAAAAGAUUAGCAUGGCCCCUAGGCAAGGAAGACACACAAAAUCGUGAAGUGUUCCACAUAUUU